AUUGGAGGAAAGCAGGGGAUCGCAAGACCUUGCGCUUUUGGAGCGGCCGAUGUCUGAUUAGCUAGUUGGUGGGGUAAAGGCUUACCAAGGCUUCGAUCAGUAGCUGGUCUGAGAGGACGACCAGCCACACUGGGACUGAGACACGGCCCAGACUCCUACGGGAGGCAGCAGUGGGGAAUUUUGGACAAUGGGGGCAACCCUGAUCCAGCCAUGCCGCAUGAGUGAAGAAGGCCUUCGGGUUGUAAAGCUCUUUCAGCCGGAACGAAAAGGUUACGGUUAAUACCCGUGACUAAUGACGGUACCGGAAGAAGAAGCACCGGCUAACUACGUGCCAGCAGCCGCGGUAAUACGUAGGGUGCAAGCGUUAAUCGGAAUUACUGGGCGUAAAGCGUGCGCAGGCGGUUUUGUAAGUCAGAUGUGAAAUCCCCGGGCUUAACCUGGGAACUGCGUUUGAAACUACAAGGCUAGAAU
rnacentral:rRNA from 1 species